CACGGGGGGAGCAAGCGUUGUUCGGAUUCAUUGGGCGUAAAGGGCUCGUAGGUGGCUUUGUAAGUCGGAGGUGAAAUCCCACGGCUCAACCGUGGACACGCCUUCGAAACUGUGAAGCUUGAGGCUGGGAGAGGAGAUCGGAAUUCCUGGUGUAGCGGUGAAAUGCGUAGAUAUCAGGAAGAACACCAAUGGCGAAAGCAGCUCUCUGGGACGGUACUGACGCUGAGACGCGAAAGCGUGGGGAGCGAACAGG
rnacentral:rRNA from 1 species